rnacentral:rRNA from 1 species
GACGAACGCUGGCGGCGCGCUUAACACAUGCAAGUCGAACGGAGCCGAGCUGCUCACUGCGCCCACACUGUGGUGCGGGCGGAGUGAGUGGUUCGACUUAGUGGCGGACGGGUGAGUAACGCGUGAGCAACCUGCCCUUCAGAGGGGGAUAACGUCUGGAAACGGACGCUAAUACCGCAUAACGUGCGGAGGCCGCAUGGCUUCUGUACCAAAGGAGAAAUCCGCUGAAGGAUGGGCUCGCGUCCGAUUAGCCAGUUGGCGGGGUAACGGCCCACCAAAGCUACGAUCGGUAGCCGGACUGAGAGGUUGGCCGGCCACAUUGGGACUGAGACACGGCCCAGACUCCUACGGGAGGCAGCAGUGGGGGAUAUUGCACAAUGGAGGAAACUCUGAUGCAGCGACGCCGCGUGAGGGAAGAAGGUCUUCGGAUUGUAAACCUCUGUCUUCGGGAACGAAUAAAUGACGGUACCCGGGGAGGAAGCCACGGCUAACUACGUG